rnacentral:snoRNA from 1 species
CAACCAUCAAAAUUGUGUAACUUUACUUCUGUUUAAAAGGUGCUAACAGCAAAGGGUACCUUUUUGCCCGUGGAGGACGCUCUCUGCCCUUCAAUGUGAAUUUAGAGGUUCUAUAUAC